rnacentral:rRNA from 1 species
UACGUAGGGUGCGAGCGUUAAUCGGAAUUACUGGGCGUAAAGCGUGCGCAGGCGGUUUUGUAAGCCAGAUGUGAAAGCCCCGGGCUUAACCUGGGAAUGGCAUUUGGGACUGCAAGGCUUGAGUGCGGCAGAGGAGACUGGAAUUCCUGGUGUAGCGGUGGAAUGCGCAGAUAUCAGGAGGAACACCGAUGGCGAAGGCAGGUCACUGGGCCGCAACUGACGCUGAGGAGCGAAAGCAUGGGGAGCAAACAGG